UUUUUUUUUUUUUACUAAUCCCAUAUAAGGCAAGCUAUCCUGCGUAUUGAUCGCUUGAUUACUCUUCAUUAUGAUGACUCUGAUGAUCGCGGUGGGCCGCUGAUCGAUAGGCUUACACACAUUCGCCGAGUGGCUUACAUCAGACAUUGGAUCUUGUCUUCUUGACAGAUAGCAUGCUCAUCAAUGGCAGAUUCUACCAUCAUUCCACGCUAUGCUAGCUUUAACACGAUCAAAGACUUGGGAAACAGCAGCUGAAGAUCCAGCAGUCAGCGCUAGUAAAAGACAUCGACCCCCAAAGUGCUGGCGAUGUGUCUCGCCCGCAGCGGCCUGCAGCGGCCUAAUGCUAUGACAUGGACGGGGCUAUCAGUAGCGCGCAGACUAGCUUGAGAGGGGGAGCUGAUUUUGCCCCGUCAGAGGCCUGCUGAAUAUGUGAUCCACCGUUACAGCGGAAGAGGAUAAAGCCCCAAUACCCCGUCUGUGAUCUUUAUGGGGUGCCGAGUGUGCGUUUAAGUGUGUGUGUGGCUACGCAGAGGCAAAAGGUAAAGCAUGCGUGUUAUUCUGAG